UACGAAGGGGGCUAGCGUUGUUCGGAAUCACUGGGCGUAAAGCGCACGUAGGCGGAUCUUUAAGUCAGGGGUGAAAUCCCGAGGCUCAACUUCGGAACUGCCUUUGAUACUGGGGAUCUCGAGUCCGGGAGAGGUGAGUGGAACUGCGAGUGUAGAGGUGAAAUUCGUAGAUAUUCGCAAGAACACCCGUGGCGAAGGCGGCUCUCUGGAACGCAACUGACGCUGAGACGCGAAAGCGUGGGGAGCAAACAGG
rnacentral:rRNA from 1 species